UAGGGAAUCUUCCGCAAUGGACGAAAGUCUGACGGAGCAACGCCGCGUGAGUGAAGGAGGAUUUCGGUUCGUAAAACUCUGUUGUUAGGGAAGAAAAAAUGUAUAGUAACUAUAUACAAAAGAGACGGUACCUAACCAGAAAGCCACGGCUAACUACGUGCCAGCAGCCGCGGUAAUACGUAGGUGGCAAGCGUUGUCCGGAAUUAUUGGGCGUAAAGCGCGCGCAGGUGGUUUAGAAAGUCUGAUGUGAAAGCCCACGGCUCAACCGUGGAGGGUCAUUGGAAACUAAUAAACUUGAGUGCAGGAGAGAAAAGUGGAAUUCCUAGUGUAGCGGUGAAAUGCGUAGAGAUUAGGAGGAACACCGGUGGCGAAAGCGGCUUUUUGGCCUGCAACUGACACUGAGGCGCGAAAGCGUGGGGAGCAAACAGG
rnacentral:rRNA from 1 species